rnacentral:rRNA from 1 species
AGGAUGAACGCUGGCGGAGUGCCUAACACAUGCAAGUCGAGCGGCAGCGGAAGUAGUUUACUACUUGCCGGCGAGCGGCGGACGGCUGAGUAACGCGUGGGAACGUGCCCCAAAGUGAGGAAUAACUGCCCGAAAGGGUAGCUAAUGCCGCAUAUGAUCUUCGGAUUAAAGGAUUUAUCCGCUUUGGGAGCGGCCCGCGUUAGAUUUAGGUAGUUGGUGAGGUAAAGGCUCACCAAGCCGACGAUCUAUAGCUGGUCUGAGAGGAUGACCAGCCAGACUGGAACUGAGACACGGUCCAGACUCUACGGAGGCAGCAGUGAGGAAUCUUCCACAA